AAACCGAGGUUAAUACCGGAUACUCCAUAUUUGUCGCAUGGCGAAUAUGGGAAAGCUCCGGCGGCAAAGGAUGGGCCCGCGGCCUGUUAGCUAGUUGGUGGGGUAGUGGCCUACCAAGGCAAUGAUGGUAGCCGGUUGAGAGACCGACCGGCCAGAUUGGGACUGAGACACGGCCCAGACUCCUACGGAGGCAGCAGUGGGGAAUCUUGCACAAUGGGCGAAAGCCUGAUGCAGCGACGCCGCGUGCGGGAUGAAGGCCUUCGGGUUGUAAACCGCUUUCAGCAGGGACGAGGCCGCAAGGUGACGGUACCUGCAGAAGAAGCCCGGCUAACUACGUGCCAGCAGCCGCGGUAAAU
rnacentral:rRNA from 1 species